UACAGAGGGUGCGAGCGUUAAUCGGAAUUACUGGGCGUAAAGCGUGCGUAGACGGUUAUGUAAGUCAGGUGUGAAAGCCCCGGGCUCAACCUGGGAAUUGCAUUUGAGACUGCAUAGCUAGGGUGCGGAAGAGGGAAGCGGAAUUUCCGGUGUAGCGGUGAAAUGCGUAGAUAUCGGAAGGAACACCAGUGGCGAAGGCGGCUUUCUGGACAGAAACUGACGCUGAGGCGGCGAAAAGCUAGGGGAGCAAACAGG
rnacentral:rRNA from 1 species